UUACACAAAUAUGAAGGCGGGCUGGAACCUCUCGGGGUUACAGCCUUGCUGAAUUAUUCACCCUUGUCUUUUGCGUACUUCUUGUUUCCUUGGUGGGUUCGCCCACCACUAGGACAAACAUAAACCUUUUGUAAUUGCAAUCAGCGUCAGUAACAAAUUAAUAAUUACAACUUUCAACAACGGAUCUCUUGGUUCUGGCAUCGAUGAAGAACGCAGCGAAAUGCGAUAAGUAGUGUGAAUUGCAGAAUUCAGUGAAUCAUCGAAUCUUUGAACGCACAUUGCGCCCUUUGGUAUUCCAAAGGGCAUGCCUGUUCGAGCGUCAUUUGUACCCUCAAGCUUUGCUUGGUGUUGGGCGUCUUGUCUCUAGCUUUGCUGGAGACUCGCCUUAAAGUAAUUGGCAGCCGGCCUACUGGUUUCGGAGCGCAGCACAAGUCGCACUCUCUAUCAGCAAAGGUCUAGCAUCCAUUAAGCCUUUUUUUCAACUUUUGACCUCGGAUCAGGUAGGGAUACCCGCUGAACUUAAGCAUAUCAAUAAGCCGGAG
rnacentral:rRNA from 1 species